GUCUAUGGCCAUGCCACCCUGAACAAGCCUGAUUCCGUCUGAUCUCAGAAGCUAAGCAGAGUUGGGCCUGGUUAGUACUCAGACCUAGGAAGACCAAGUGCUUAGGUA
rnacentral:rRNA from 1 species